rnacentral:lncRNA from 1 species
ACGCGCAGGUCUGGCGCGGCCUCGCCGGCCUCCCCCCCUCCUCGUCGUCCGCCUCCACCGCCGCCGCCUCUGCGUCCGCCGCCUCCUCUGCCGCCAGCGGCACCGCCAGCACCCUGGGCAGCUCGGAGGGCUACUGGCUCCGCGACCUGGGCAGCGGCCGCGGCACCUGGGUCAACGGCAAGCGCCUGCCCGACGGCGCCACGGUGCAGCUGUGGCCCGGCGACGCGGUGGAGUUCGGCCGGCACCCCAGCCACGAGGUGUUCAAGGUGAAGAUGCAGCACGUGACGCUGCGCAGCGACGAGCUCAGCGGCCAGG